rnacentral:lncRNA from 1 species
AGAUUGUGGCUGAAGCUGAAUUUUAUGAGCCUUCCCCCAAAAAACUGGAAGAUUUUGCCAUCUUACAAGCCCUCUUCCUUAAGAAAGAGAAAGAUGAGCAGUAAAUAUCCUCUGGCACGUCGGCACAUUCUGUCUCUUCGUGUUUUCAUGAAGUGUUCAUGACAUGGGAUUGAAGUACUCCUUUGUGUUCAGUAUUUGAUAUCAAAUCCUUUACAAAUCACUGGGAGAAUGGUAGAAGGAAUGAUGAGCUUUCCCUGAAGGUUCCAGCUUCUUCCUGCCACUAUUCUCUAGGGUGGGGUCACCUUCAUCUGGUUCCAGGAUGCAGCAUGCCCAGGUCUAAGAAGUCACCCCUUUUGUUACAGUCACUAGACUUUAUCAGGCUCUCCUGUACUUCUUUUUCAGGGUGAGAAAGCUUGGUGUUCAGGACAAUGGAUGCCAAAUAGAAGAUAUGUAUUUGUGCCUGCUAAAUACUUUUGCCUAUAAGCAACAACACAGUAUCUUGGCUUGUCCAUUAUCUCAAGUCACUGAACGAGGAAGUAGAUUGCUAAUGACAGAGAACGGAGGAAAGCUUACAUUUUAGGUCAUUCACAAAGUUGGAUAAAUUUAAUUGGAGUUUAAUUGUCCAGUUCCUUCUUUUGAUUGCUAGUAACAGAGCUCAGACCCUUUGCCAAGGAGGGCAUCUGUGUUGGGUUUUGGUUUUCUUGAUUUGAAAAGCAUUGGAAAAGCCAUCUCUGAGUGAGGCAGAGAAGUCAGAGAACUCUAAGAGUCAAAUCAAAGUCAGUGGCCAGUGGAGCCUGAACCCCAGUGAUCAUUCUAUUCCUGUCAUGUUGAUAGUCCACAUAAACCCAAUAGGAGAAUACAGAAUAGCCAUAGGACAUUGAAACAAAGAGGCCUCUGCCUAGAACUGGAUAUCACUACAAACCUUGGAUUCUCAGCAUUUCUGCCUUUUAUGUUGAGGAACUUUGGGGGCUUCAGGCUUUAAGAGUCCAUGUUCUGGUCAGUGCAGUAAUGUACUUGGUACUUGUGUAGUCUUUAUACAUAUACAGAGUUCUGCAUUCUCCAUGGUUUGUAGACAAUUGAUACCUUCAUAUGGAUGUUCAGCUUCUUUUAAUGGCAAGAAACCCUCUUCAGAAUAUGAGAAAAGCCUGUCCAUCUUCAGAUAGUCCAGGAUUGAGAAGCUAGUUGCCUCCAAGCUUACUGCCCAAAUAAGUUGAAAACUGGUUUCAGACUCGCAUCUAACAUUGCUGUGUUGUAACAGUAAUACAAGCCUUCCUGUGCAUGGUAGUAUACAUCUCCCACAUGCUGUCUGGCAAGCUCCCAGGUUUGGAUUUAUGUUGACAGAUAUAGAAUCCUCUAUGGUGAGAGGAGUAUUUCUGAUCCCAUGAAUCAUCCUCUACUACCUCAUGUAUACAGGGCCAUCGCUCUACAGUCAAUGUAGAAAAUUGGAGCAUCACAGUGUCAGAUCAUUCCCACGCUAUCAAACCAAAUAUGACCAGUUGCUACUCUGAUCAAGGCUGACAGUUUGUCACACACUACUACUGCAGAGGCCAGAGCAUUUUGAAAGGCAAGAAACAGAACGGAAAUGGAGAGGAGAGCCCAGCAUGACUUGCGCCGUGCCAAAGGAAUACGUGUGCAGAAGGGGUGAUGCCUGACCUACACACCCGGCAAUACCAGAAGUUUCACUACCUUCCGUUGGUAAACGCUUCAGGGAAGGCUCUGCAACCCUGAACGUGUUUUAUUGUAGAACCUCACUAGGAAACUCAUCAGUAUUUAUUAAAGAUGAAUUAAAAGAAGGAGGAAAAGGAAAAACGGGAUAGUGAAGAGAAUAGAUGAAUGAAAAAGAAGCAAAGGGAAGAGAGGAGGAAGGGACAAAGAGGGCAAGAAAAGAGAAAAGAGAGAUGAGAGACCAGGACUUCCCACCUAACCUUACCAAACUUUUUCAGUUGAGCUUUUAAUGGGAUACUAUUCCCAAGAGGAAAUUCAAAAAGAAAACCACCUUGAAACAUCCUUGCUUUUAAUUGUACUCUUUCAACUGCCAGGAAAUUAAUUAGGUAAGACAAAAAGAAAAUUUUCUACCUUAAUAAAAAGAAGCCAACACCCA